rnacentral:rRNA from 1 species
AGAACGAACGCUGGCGGCAUGCCUAAUACAUGCAAGUCGAACGAACUCUUCGGAGUUAGUGGCGCACGGGUGCGUAACGCGUGGGAAUCUGCCCCUUGGUUCGGAAUAACAGUUGGAAACGACUGCUAAUACCGGAUGAUGACGAAAGUCCAAAGAUUUAUCGCCAAGGGAUGAGCCCGCGUAGGAUUAGCUAGUUGGUGAGGUAAAGGCUCACCAAGGCAACGAUCCUUAGCUGGUCUGAGAGGAUGAUCAGCCACACUGGGACUGAGACACGGCCCAGACUCCUACGGGAGGCAGCAGUAGGGAAUAUUGGACAAUGGGCAAAGCCUGAUCCAGCAAUGCCGCGUGAGUGAUGAAGGCCUUAGGGUUGUAAAGCUCUUUUACCCGAGAUGAUAAUGACAGUAUCGGAGAAUAAGCCCUGCUAACUCCGCGCCAGCAGCCGC